GACGAACGCUGGCGGCGUGCCUAAUACAUGCAAGUUGAGCGAUGAAGAUUGGUGCUUGCACCAAUUUGAAGAGCAGCGAACGGGUGAGUAACGCGUGGGGAAUCUGCCUUUGAGCGGGGGACAACAUUUGGAAACGAAUGCUAAUACCGCAUAACAACUUUAAACAUAAGUUUUAAGUUUGAAAGAUGCAAUUGCAUCACUCAAAGAUGAUCCCGCGUUGUAUUAGCUAGUUGGUGAGGUAAAGGCUCACCAAGGCGAUGAUACAUAGCCGACCUGAGAGGGUGAUCGGCCACAUUGGGACUGAGACACGGCCCAAACUCCUACGGGAGGCAGCAGUAGGGAAUCUUCGGCAAUGGACGAAAGUCUGACCGAGCAACGCCGCGUGAGUGAAGAAGGUUUUCAGAUCGUAAAACUCUGUUGGUAGAGAAGAACGUUGGUGAGAGUGGAAAGCUCAUCAAGUGACGGUAACUACCCAGAAAGGGACGGCUAACUACGUG
rnacentral:rRNA from 1 species